rnacentral:tRNA from 1 species
GCCCCCGUGGCCCAACCGGCAGAGGCAGGCGACUUAAAAUCGCCACAGGUGCGGGUUCGACUCCCGUCGGGGGCG